GCAACGCCGCGUGAACGAUGAAGGUCUUCGGAUCGUAAAGUUCUGUUGUUAGGGAAGAACAAGUACCGUGCGAAUAGAGCGGUACCUUGACGGUACCUAACGAGGAAGCCCCGGCUAACUACGUGCCAGCAGCCGCGGUAAUACGUAGGGGGCAAGCGUUGUCCGGAAUUAUUGGGCGUAAAGCGCGCGCAGGCGGUUUCUUAAGUCUGAUGUGAAAGCCCACGGCUCAACCGUGGAGGGUCAUUGGAAACUGGGGAACUUGAGGACAGAAGAGGAGAGUGGAAUUCCACGUGUAGCGGUGAAAUGCGUAGAUAUGUGGAGGAACACCAGUGGCGAAGGCGACUCUCUGGUCUGUCUCUGACGCUGAGGUGCGAAAGCGUGGGUAGCAAACAGGAUUAGAUACCCUGGUAGUCCACGCCGUAAACGAUGAGUGCUAGGUGUUAGGGGGCUUCCACCCCUUAGUGCUGAAGUUAACGCAUUAAGCACUCCGCCUGGGGAGUACGGCCGCAAGGCUG
rnacentral:rRNA from 1 species